GCAUAUCAAUAACCGGAGGAAAAGAAACCAACAGGGAUUGCCCUAGUAACGGCGAGUGAAGCGGCAAUAGCUCAAAUUUGAAAGCUGGCGUCUUCGACGUCCGCGUUGUAAUUUGUAGAGGAUGCUUCGGCGAGGACUCCUGCCUAAGUCCCCUGGAACGGGGCGUCACAGAGGGUGAGAAUCCCGUAUGUGGCGGGCGGUCCAAGCCAUGUGAAGCUCCUUCGACGAGUCGAGUUGUUUGGGAAUGCAGCUCUAAAUGGGAGGUACAUUUCUUCUAAAGCUAAAUAUUGGCCAGAGACCGAUAGCGCACAAGUAGAGUGAUCGAAAGAUGAAAAGCACUUUGGAAAGAGAGUCAAACAGCACGUGAAAUUGUUGAAAGGGAAGCGCUUGCAACCAGACUCGCUCGCAGUUGCUCAGCCGGCCUCUUGGCCGGUGUACUCUUCUGCGAUCGGGCCAGCAUCAGUUCGGGCGGCUGGAUAAAGGUGUCGGGAAUGUAGCACCCUUCGGGGUGUGUUAUAGCCCGGCGCGGAAUGCGGCCAGCCUGGACGAGGAUCUCGCUCUCUGCUAGGAUGCUGG
rnacentral:rRNA from 1 species